CUGUUAGGGGAAUGAUGUAUUAUUAUCGGGCUCUUAAGAUGCUUGCUUUUCUUGAUUCUGCUUCUGAGAUGGACAUUAGGG
rfam:Citrus clementina cultivar Clemenules unplaced genomic scaffold scaffold_2, whole genome shotgun sequence.